rnacentral:rRNA from 1 species
GGACUACUGGGGUUUCUAAUCCUGUUUGCUACCCACGCUUUCGCACCUCAGCGUCAGUUGAUGCCCAGUUUGCUGCCUUCGCCAUGGGUGUUCCUCCUGAUAUCAACGCAUUUCACCGCUACACCAGGAAUUCCACAAACCUCUGCAUCACUCUAGCUCGCCAGUAUGCGAAAUAGUUUCCAAGUUGAGCCUGGAGAUUUAGCUUCACACUUAACGAGCCGCCUACGCGCUCUUUACGCCCAGUAAAUCCGGACAACGCUUGGACCCUACGUCUUACCGCGGCUGCUGGCAC